GCUUCCGUAGGAGUCCGGGCAGAGUCUACCUGUAAUUGGAGUCAUGGGUGGAGUCCGGCUCCCGUAGGAGUCCGGACGAAGUCUGCCUGCAGCAGGAGUCGGGGAUGAGGUCCGGCUCCCGUAGGAGUCCGGGCAGGGUCUACCUGCAAUCAAAGUCAGGGGCGAAGUCCGGCUCCCUUAGGAGUCCGGAUGGAGUCUACCAGCAGUCGAGGUCGGGGAUGGGGUCCAGCUCUUGUAGGAGUCCGGGCGAAGCCUUCAAGCAGUUGAGAUCGGGGAUGAAGUCCGAACGGAGUCCUCCUGCGGCCGGAGUCGGAGACGAGAUCCGACUCCCGUAGGGGUCCGGGCUGAGUCUUCCUGCAAUUGGAGUUGUGAGUGAAGUCCGACUCCCGUAGGAGUCCGGACGAAGUUUACCUGUAAGUGAAGUCGUGGGUGGAGCCCGGCUCCCGUAGCCUGUAAGUGAAGUCAUGGGCGGAGCCUGGCUCCCGUAGGAGUCCGGGCGAAGUCCGCCUGCAGCAGGAGUCGGGGACGAGGUCCGGCUCCCGUAGGAGUCCGGAUGGAGUCUACCUGCAAUCAAAGUCAGGGAUGAAGUUCGGCUCCCUUAGGAGUCCGGACGAAGUUUACCA
rnacentral:lncRNA from 1 species